AUUUUUCUCUCUAAUGAGCACCCUGUGAAGGCCUUAGGAUUGGCUGCUACAGACUCAUCUGGCCAUCUCUCUCCUUUCAAAUUCUCCAGAAGGGCAACUGGUGAUGAUGAUGUGCAAUUCAAAGUUUUGUAUUGCGGGAUCUGCCACACUGAUCUUCAUUACCUCAAAAACGAGUGGGGAGUCACUCAAUAUCCCAUUGUACCGGGGUAACUUUCUGCAAAUUCAUAUCAUGUAAUUAUGCCAUUAGAUGCCGAUAAUUGAUAUGGAUAUAUAAUUGCAAGCAUGAGAUUGUUGGUGUGGUAACAGAGGUGGGAAAGAAGGUUGAGAAGGUCAAAGUUGGUGUGGGAUGCAUGGUCGGAUCUUGUCGAUCGUGCGAGAGCUGCAAUGAAAAAAAAGUAAUAUAACCCUUUUAGGGUACCAACUAUUCAAUUUAGGUCAUUCAGUUGUGACUUUUUUGGGUUAUAAAUAUUCAACGCUAACCAUGUCAAAUUGUCUAACUAUUCAGGCCAACCAACAAAUUUUGGGUUGAAUUCACAUCCCUAUCCGCAAUUGUUACCUCUCAAUCCAAAGGGGAUCCUAGUCUUGCAACGUACUGCAUUGUAAUUAAAUCUUCCUCCCUGGCACCCUCAACAUGAGUGAGGAGUUCUUCUUGAGGAAGGAUCCUGUGGUUUUCACCACAGCACCCAAUGCUGUGUGCCAAAAUGCAGAUUUUUAUUCA